CCAGCAUCUGAAAGGAAUUAACUUAAAUAGACAUGCGAGUUGGAGGCCAGGAGUGGAGGUCCAACCUACAACUUCAAGUCAAAUGGAAGAAAGUAACACUCUUGGAACUCCAAGACCUUGUUUUCAGACCUGUGAGCAACGUGUCCCACCAAACUCU